rnacentral:rRNA from 1 species
AUUGAACGCUGGCGGCAGGCGUAACACAUGCAAGUCGAGCGAGCGGCGGACGGGAGAGUAAUGUCUGGGAAACUGCCUGAUGGAGGGGGAUAACUACUGGAAACGGUAGCUAAUACCGCAUCCCAUCAGAUGUGCCCAGAUGGGAUUAGCUAGUAGGGGGGGUAAUGGCGCACCUAGGAGACGAUCCCUAGCUGGUCUGAGAGGAUGACCAGCCACACUGGAACUGAGACACGGUCCAGACUCCUACGGGAGGCAGCAGUGGGGAAGAUUGCACAAUGGGCGCAAGCCUGAUGCAGCCAUGCCGCGUGUAUGAAGAAGGCCUUCGGGUUGUAAAGUACUUUCAGCGAGGAGGCGUUACUCGCAGAAGAAGCACCGGCUAACUCCGUGCCAGCAGCCGCGGUAAUUC